AUGAACGCUGGCGGCGUGCCUAAUACAUGCCAGUCGAGCGAACAGACGAGGAGCUUGCUCCUUCGACGUUAGCGGCGGACGGGUGAGUAACACGUAGGUAACCUACCUAUAAGACUGGGAUAACUUCGGGAAACCGGAGCUAAUACCGGAUAAUAUUUCGAACCGCAUGGUUCGAUAGUGAAAGAUGGCUUUGCUAUCACUUAUAGAUGGACCUGCGCCGUAUUAGCUAGUUGGUAAGGUAACGGCUUACCAAGGCAACGAUACGUAGCCGGCCUGAGAGGGUGAUCGGCCACACUGGAACUGAGACACGGUCCAGACUCCUACGGGAGGCAGCAGUAGGGAAUCUUCCGCAAUGGGCGAAAGCCUGACGGAGCAACGCCGCGUGAGUGAUGAAGGUCUUCGGAUCGUAAAACUCUGUUAUUAGGGAAGAACAAACGUGUAAGUAACUGUGCACGUCUUGACGGUACCUAAUCAGAAAGCCACGGCUAACUACGUG
rnacentral:rRNA from 1 species